rnacentral:lncRNA from 1 species
CUCCGAAUGUGGGUGAUAGAAGGCAGUGUGGUCUGAGUUCUGGGCAGUUGGCAUGGCUCCAGCCUCCCACAGAGGCACCAGGAAGAAGCCUCCCGUCCCAGUUUUUCUUAGACUCUGCAGGGCUGGGCACAGGGAGGGCCGGGCCCACGGGGCUUAGUUACUUCUUAUCGGCUUAUCUACUACUUCUUGUCUGAGGAUCCCAGGCAUGCUCAGGGCAAGGAGAACGCACUGAGUUCCAAGGACCAAGCCCUUUUCAGCAUCUCAGGAGUUGUGAUCCUCACGCUGGGCCUCUCCCAGACAGUUUGGGGCACUUGUGGAGCCAGAAAGCCGGUCUUCCUGUUCCUGGCUAGAACCCUCUUCUGCUAUAGUGGUAAGUUAGGGAUGGAAAGGGUUGUGGUGUUUCCUUUUUUGGUGGGUCAAAUAUGUAACAGUGUUUUGAAUUUCUUUGACAUGAUCUAUUCAUUUAAGGAUGCACAGAAGGCUUGCUUCAAAUUGGCUUAAGUGAGAAAAUAGAACCCAGGGUUCAUGCAAGCACAAGGUCUAAGGCUUAACCCAUUCCCAGGUUUCCCUUAAUCUCUGACCUCCUGGCUUCUGACCAUCGUGGCUUCAUUGUAGGCUCCAUGCAGUGGCAGGAUGGCUGCCUCCAGUGGCAGGAUGUCCUCUAGGCUUAAAUCCAAGGCAAAAGAGAAUCCCUCUCUUCUCCAGUAGUUUGAAUGAACACUUAUUAGCUCAGUUUGGUCACAUACCCACUCCACAUUUAUCAUUGUGACCUGGGGGAUUGUGAUGCUUUCCGUGGACAGACCUGAAUCAUGUGCCUUUGGAGCCAGAUCAUCAUCAAUUCUAACAGCAAGCAGCAGUGUGGGGGAGAAGGUGAUUCUCUAGAGGAAGGCUGGAGUAUGUUUACCUGAUGAAGGGUGAAUGGAUGCGGACAACACAAACAACAAAUAAUCAUUAUAAACAGCCUUUUAUGACAGUCUUUUCAGAAGUCAACACCUUCCUUUCCUUUGUUCAUUUGUAAAUUUCUUUCAGCUGUAACCCAGCAGAAUCAUAAAUAUGCAAAGAAUAGUUAAAGUCCUAUGGGAAGGAGUAUGCUUGAAUAUGAUAAUGAUCCUUUCAUUAAAAUGUAAGUUCUUAUUAUUUUAGAAAAAAAAAUACAUGGUGAAAUUUUAAAGCAAUAACCUGAGUUGACUAUGGAUAGGCUAGAGGACUCGGGGCACUCAGGCAGAGGUCUCCAGAGGGGAGCAAUUUCUUCAAGCUCGGCUGAGUGGCUGAGUCUCUCUUUCCUACAGCUCACCCACUGUGCUCCUCAGUGAAUAUUGUGUCUGUGUAGAGGGCAUUGUAGCAUUCACUUGCUGCAGAAUUUCCUCUUCAUUAUUCUAAUACUCCUACAGCAUACAGAGAACAAGUCACCAUCAACCAAUGAGAAAUUUUGUUUCCCUUUUCUUUUCCAUCUGGGUUGGAUAAUUGAAAAGAGUUUAGAUUCAGUUUGACCAUAGAGAAA